GGAACCGGAGCCAAAUACCGGAAAGUUUCCCCGAACCGCAUGGUUAAGGAUGAAAGACGGUUUCGGCCGUCACUUUACAGAAGGACCCGCGGCGCAUUUGCUAGUUUGGUGAGGUAAACGGCUUCACCAAGGCGACGAAUGCGUUAGCCGACCUGAGAGGGUGAUCGGCCACACUUGGGACUUGAGACACGGCCCAGACUUCCUACGGGAGGCAGCAGUAGGGAAUCUUUCCGCAAUGGACGAAAGUCUGACGGAGCAACGCCGCGUGAGUGAUGAUAGGUUUUCGGAUCGUAAAGCUCUGUUGUUAGGGAAGAACAAGUGCAAGAGUAACUGCUUGCACCUUGACGGUACCUAACCAGAAAGCCACGGCUAACUACGUGCCAGCAGCCGCGGUA
rnacentral:rRNA from 1 species